GAUGAACGCUGGCGGCGUGCCUAAUACAUGCAAGUCGAGCGAACAGACGAGGAGCUUGCUCCUCUGACGUUAGCGGCGGACGGGUGAGUAACACGUGGAUAACCUACCUAUAAGACUGGGAUAACUUCGGGAAACCGGAGCUAAUACCGGAUAAUAUAUUGAACCGCAUGGUUCAAUAGUGAAAGACGGUUUUGCUGUCACUUAUAGAUGGAUCCGCGCCGCAUUAGCUAGUUGGUAAGGUAACGGCUUACCAAGGCAACGAUGCGUAGCCGACCUGAGAGGGUGAACGGCCACACUGGAACUGAGACACGGUCCAGACUCCUACGGGAGGCAGCAGUAGGGAAUCUUCCGCAAUGGGCGAAAGCUUGACGGAGCAACGCCGCGUGAGUGAUGAAGGUCUUCGGAUCGUAAAACUCUGUUAUUAGGGAAGAACAAAUGUGUAAGUAACUAUGCACGUCUUGACGGUACCUAAUCAGAAAGCCACGGCUAACUACGAG
rnacentral:rRNA from 1 species